AAGCUCGUAGUAGAAACUCGGGCUCCGGCCGACUGGUCCGCCUCACUGCGUGCACUGGUUCGGCCGGGCCUUCACCUUCUGCGGAACCGCAUCUCCUUCACUGGGGGUGUCGGGGAAACAGGACGUUUACUGUGAAAAAAUUAGAGUGCUCCAGGCAGGCCUAUGCUCGAAUAGAUUAGCAUGGAAUAAUGGAAUAGGACGUGUGGUCUUAUUUCGUUGGUUUCUAGGACCGCCGUAAUGAUUAAUAGGGACAGUCGGGGGCAUCAGUAUUCAAUCGUCAGAGGUGAAAUUCUUGGAUCGAUUGAAGACUAACUACUGCGAAAGCAUUUGCCAAGGAUGUCUUCAUUUAUCAGGAACGAAAGUUAGGGGAUCGAAGACGAUCAGAUACCGUCGUAGUCUUAACCAUAAACUAUGCCGACUAGGGAUCGGACGGUGUUAUUUCUUGACCCGUUC
rnacentral:rRNA from 1 species